GUCACUCUCUCCCUUGGUACCAGGGACGUGCCUUCUCUGUGCCUCUGCUCCUCCCCCAGUGCAGCUCUGGGCUCACAUCCUCCCUCCAGGCAGAGGACAAGAAAAUACGGAAGAGGAGUCUUGGCCAAGCUCCUUGUCACAUCUGGAACAGCUGUUCUCUCUCCCCCCUGUACCACCAAGCGAAUUACCUGUUUGGGGGAUCAUCUGGUAGUUUGUGGAGAAAAGGCCUAUACACAGAAAGAGCAGCCAGGACCACAGUAAGCAUGGACCGUGGGACACAACACAAGGUGAGAGUGUGCAGCAGGGUCUAAAGUGGCCUGUGUGCUCAACAACAGAGGCCAGCCUGCAUCUGGACGCCCGCGGUCGCUGAGGGAAGGGCAGCUGCAUCUGUCUCACGCAGUGACAGAAGAACCAGCGGCCCUCAAUUACCAACUGCUGACUACUAACCUCUGCCUGGAGAUUGCAGGAGAGUCACAGUUGGCUGCAACCCAUUAGUGUGCCGUAAAAUCAAUUGAAAAGGGGAUUACCAUCCUUUUUUAUUAAGUAAACUGAACAAGGGAAUAAAGAUGAAUGUAAUAAAAUAUAAAAAUAUA